GGGAGGCGUAGCGAAAGCGAGUCCGAAUAGGGCGUAUAGUUGCUGGGUGUAGACCCGAAACCAAGUGAUCUAUCCAUGGCCAGGUUGAAGAUGCCGUAACAGGCAUUGGAGGACCGAACCCACAAAUGUUGAAAAAUUUGGGGAUGAGCUGUGGAUCGGAGUGAAAGGCUAAUCAAGCCUGGAGAUAGCUGGUUCUCCGCGAAAUCUAUUUAGGUAGAGCGUCAUCCGAAUACCCCGGGGGGUAGAGCACUGGAUGGGUAAUGGGGCCCCACAGGCUUACUGAUCCUAACCAAACUCCGAAUACCCGGGAGUACUAGAUGGCAGACACACGGCGGAUGCUAACGUCCGUCGUGGAGAGGGAAACAACCCUGAC
rnacentral:rRNA from 1 species